UACGUAGGGUGCAAGCGUUGUCCGGAAUUAUUGGGCGUAAAGAGUUCGUAGGCGGUUGAAUAAGUCUGAUGUUAAAUACUGGUGCUCAACGCCAGCAUGGCAUUGGAAACUGUUCGGCUAGAGUAUGGUAGAGGUUACGGGAAUUCCUGGUGUAGCGGUGAAAUGCGUAGAUAUCAGGAGGAACACCGGUGGCGAAAGCGCGUAACUGGGCCAUAACUGACGCUGAGGAGCGAAAGCGUGGGGAGCGAACAGG
rnacentral:rRNA from 1 species